UUCCAUGACCAGGAUUCAAACCUGGGUUAUCAAGGCCACAAUGCAAUAUCCUAACCACUAGACGAUCACGGC
rnacentral:tRNA from 1 species